UGGGCUCGAAGCGCAGUGGAAUGAGGUGGAAACAUCUCAGCCCGCAAGGGCCGCUGCGGAGGUGCUGCAUGGCUGUCGUCAGCUCGUGUCGUGAGAUGUUGGGUUAAGUCCCGCAACGAGCGCAACCCUUAUCGUUAGUUGCCAUCGGGUCAAGCCGGGCACUCUAGCGAAACCGCCUCGGAUAACGGGGAGGAAGGUGGGGAUGACGUCAAGUCCUCAUGGCCUUUAUGUCCAGGGCUACACACGUGCUACAAUGCACGGUACAAACCGUCGCAAACCCGUGAGGGGGAGCUAAUCGGAAAAAGCCGUGCUCAGUUCGGAUUGGAGUCUGCAACCCGACUCCAUGAAGCUGGAAUCGCUAGUAAUCGCAGAUCAGAACGCUGCGGUGAAUACGUUCCCGGGCC
rnacentral:rRNA from 1 species